rnacentral:lncRNA from 1 species
AGAAAAAAAAAAACAAAAGAGGGAUCUGAAUAUUUUGAGUGAAAAACCGUGAGAGAGAAGGGAGAAGGGAGAAAGAAGAAGAAGAAGAGAAAAGAGGGAAUUUAGAAAGGAAAUAGAAAGGAGUUGGAGGAAAUAAGUAAAAAGGUAAGAUUUAGGUUGUUAAAUGUAUAAAUUUGUAUUAUUGAGCUUUUAAUUUUGGUUUUGAUAAAUGUUAGGGUUUUGAAAAUUUGUGUUUUGGGUUUAAUUGAUGAAUUAAAUUGAAUGUUAUAAGGUUGAUUGUUAUGGGUAAUUGAUUAAUGAGUUGAUUAUGGAAUAUUGUGAUGAUUUUGAGUUAUGAAUUGUGUAAAUGGUAAAUGUUGAGUUAGAAAUUUGGCAAGAACAGUAGGUAAUCUGUGAGAAUUCUGGGUUUGAGGUUGAAGAUGACAAAAUUUCGGUUUGGUCCCUCAAUUUUGGAAAAUUACAGUUUAGUCCCCAAACUUUGGAAAAUUUGCAGAUUGGUCCCUGGAGCCUAUUCCAAGAAUCUGAACAGAAUAACAUAUGAAUUAUGGACAGAAUUACUGUAUAGAUAAGAGAAUUUAACACUUUCAAUUUAGUCCUUCAAUUUGACAAAAAUUACAAUUUGACCCUAAAAAUUUGGUAAAAUUCCAGAAUGGUCCUUGGAGUAUAAUGAUAUGAUCUGGACAGAAAUGAGGACUAAUUAUGGUCAUAAUUUCAGUAUAUUCAUGGAUUUAUGAUAAAUUUCAGUUUGGUCCUCCAAUUAGACAAAAGUUGCAAUUUGACCCUUAAAAAUAGGAUAAAUUACAGAUUAGUCCCUAGCUGUAAUAUUAGCUUUUUCAGAUUGGUUUGAUGAAUAAUUAAGGGUUAUUUAGUAAAUUAUUAUCAAUUUUAUUAGUUGUUUUUAUUAUGGAUUAGAUUUCGGGAAAAACCGUUAAAUGUUGGGUUUUUAGGAAAGAUAACUAGUUAGUUCAAAAACAUAUAUGAUUACGGAAUACACCCUUAGUUAAGUGUAUUAAAUAAGUUAAAUGUUCUUUUGAGUCGUUCUUGAAUAUGUCUCCUUUGUAUUCAGAUAAUCCUGAUAUUCUACCGACAGGACGUCAGUAGGAUUUUCUUCGGUGUCUGCUUUUGGCUUCUGUUUGCUUUUGAGUCAGGUGAGUGGAUAACUUUCCAUAUGCAUGAGAAAUAGUAUAAAUAUUUGAUUUGUUAAUAUGAAUUGAAUCAUGCUUCUUGAUAAUAUAUAUGUUGAUUAUUAUCCUUAUUUUGAUAAAGCAUGAUCAAUUAUUGAAUCUGAAUUCUUGAUAUGAACCAGUAUAUAUUUUGAAUUGAAUUCUGAAUUGAUAGCUCCUCAUUUGAUUGAUGUCAUGAGUUGAGCCUUGAGAUAUGAAUACGUCUGUUUGAUUAUGAUUAUGAACCUAUGGUAUGUCAGUCAGAAUACCCAUGCUAACAGGGUAGUGUUAGUCUUUGUGCACAUCGUAUCUGAACCCUAGUUGGUCGGGGGAGUCACCAACCUGUGUGGACUGAUCAUCCCACAGUACGGAGCCUCAUGCUCAUUGCAUUUUGAUUUUCUGACGAGUUUUACCAUAUGAUCUUCUUGUUAUGGCCAAUUUGAGAACAAUUCCAUAAGAACCUAAAGUCAUACUUGUAUAUAUAUUUCUCAUUGCUGUAUUACCUCGUGUGUGUAUAUUGAACGUUAUCUACUCACUGAGUUGUUGAACUCACCAUCUCAUUAUUUAUCCUUUUCAGGCUUAUAGCUUGAUAGCAGGUCAUUUUGUUGGACCUUCAGAACCUGCUUUUUGGUUGUACUUUGUACCUUUCCUUUAUGUCUAGUUAGUGCUCCAAAACUAUGAAUUAUAUUAACUCUUGUAUUAAGACAAUUCAGUUAUAUUAUGAAGAUAAUUUUGUUGUUACUGCUGCGUUGAACUCUGAUUGACUUAUUUGAAGAAUGAGUUUGUGUGUAAGUUUGGGUUCGCAUAGGUAUGGAACCUUGGAGGGGAACCUUGCCUAUGUGCCGGUCAUGGAUCCGGGAUUCGGGUCGUGACAAACUUGGUAUCAGAGCUUUAGGUUAAAAAAACAAUAAUAUAAUUAAAUUCGUAAUAAGUGGAGCAUUAGGAUCCGUGUUGUCUUGUUUGUUGUCUUUGAAAUUCUGAAUUCUCAUUAAGCAUGUCUUCUUCCUUGUGAUAGAUAUGCUUUCCUAUAAUUCUGUGGUAAUUAUCAUGCUAUUGUUCUAGCAUGACUUGAGUGCUCUCACUUUUAUUUUAGGAAAUGCCGUGGAAUAGACGAAUAGCUGAUACUGUUAGAGUAGAGGAUGAUCAGGAUAAUGUCCCUAUUGGGCGGUUGAGAACUGCAAGGCAGAGAAGGAGGCGCGGUGCACCCGUGCCUCAACAUGUUGAGGAGGUACCUCCACCAGUGGAGGAAGAGCCUCAGGAGAUAGAAGAGGAAGAUAUUGUUGAUGAAACAGGUGUGGGGGUAGCUG